rnacentral:misc_RNA from 1 species
GUAGGUGAACCUGCGGAAGGAUCAUUAACACGUAUCCAACGUUAAACAACCCUGUGAACCUUCAUUCCGAGCCCUAACAAAAGCAAUCCUUGGUAAAUCACGUGAACAGUUUGAUUCAAGGACCUCUCUUGGUAGCCCUCGGGGAUUCGAUGCGGUCGUCGCAACUUAGGCUUGGCACCUGCAGGGUAGUCAGUGGGUGAAAGUGCCAUUGAUUGCUUAAGCGGAUAACCGACCUUUUGCAUUAAGCAAA